UACGAGAGGUCCAAACGUUAUUCGGAAUUACUGGGCUUACAGAGUUCGUAGGCGGCGCGAAAAGUGGGGUGUGAAAUCCCUCGGCUCAACCGAGGAAUUGCGCUCCAAACUGUCGUGCUAGAGGAAGAUAGAGGUGAGCGGAACUGAUGGUGGAGCGGUGAAAUGCGUUGAUAUCAUCAGGAACACCGGAGGCGAAGGCGGCUCACUGGGUCUUUUCUGACGCUGAGGAACGAAAGCUAGGGGAGCAAACGGG
rnacentral:rRNA from 2 species